AACGAACGCUGGCGGCAUGCCUAACACAUGCAAGUCGAACGAGACCUUCGGGUCUAGUGGCGCACGGGUGCGUAACGCGUGGGAACCUUCCCUUAGGUUCGGAAUAACUCCCCGAAAGGGGUGCUAAUACCGGAUAAUGUCUUCGGACCAAAGAUUUAUCGCCUUUGGAUGGGCCCGCGUUGGAUUAGCUAGUUGGUAGGGUAAAAGCCUACCAAGGCGACGAUCCAUAGCUGGUCUGAGAGGAUGAUCAGCCACACUGGGACUGAGACACGGCCCAGACUCCUACGGGAGGCAGGAGUGGGGAAUAUUGGACAAUGGGCGAAAGCCUGAUCCAGCAAUGCCGCGUGAGUGAUGAAGGCCUUAGGGUUGUAAAGCUCUUUUAACCGGGAUGAUAAUGACAGUACCGGGAGAAUAAGCUCCGGCUAACUCCGUG
rnacentral:rRNA from 1 species